CAUAGAAUGCAGUCGAACGGACUUAACCAUUAGUUUACUAUUGGAGCGGUUAGUGGCGGACUGGUGAGUAACACGUAAGCAACCUGCCUAUCAGAGGGGAACAACAGUUAGAAAUGACUGCUAAUACCGCAUAUGCCUAAGUACCACAUGGUACAAUAGGGAAAGGAGCAAUCCGCUGAUAGAUGGGCUUGCGUCUGAUUAGCUAGUUGGUGGGGUAAAGGCCUACCAAGGCGACGAUCAGUAGCCGGACUGAGAGGUUGAACGGCCACAUUGGGACUGAGAUACGGCCCAGACUCCUACGGGAGGCAGCAGUCGGGAAUAUUGCGCAAUGGAGGAAACUCUGACGCAGUGACGCCGCGUGCAGGAAGAAGGUUUUCGGAUUGUAAACUGCUUUAGACAGGGAAGAAACAAGACAGUACCUGUAGAAUAAGCUCCGGCUAACUACGUGCCAGCAGCCGCGGUAAUACGUAGGGAGCGAGCGUUAUCCGGAUUUAUUGGGUGUAAAGGGUGCGUAGACGGGAAGAUAAGUUAGUUGUGAAAUCCCUCGGCUUAACUGAGGAACUGCAACUAAAACUGUUUUUCUUGAGUACUGGAGAGGAAAGUGGAAUUCCUAGUGUAGCGGUGAAAUGCGUAGAUAUUAGGAGGAACACCAGUGGCGAAGGCGACUUUCUGGACAGAAACUGACGUUGAGGCACGAAAGUGUGGGGAGCAAACAGGAUUAGAUACCCUGGUAGUCCACACCGUAAACGAUGGAUACUAGGUGUAGGGG
rnacentral:rRNA from 1 species